UACAGAGGUCCCAAGCGUUGUUCGGAAUUACUGGGCGUAAAGGGCGCGUAGGCGGCCUUCUAAGUCAGACGUGAAAUCCCUCGGCUCAACCGAGGAACUGCGUCUGAUACUGGAAGGCUUGAAUCCGGGAGAGGGAUGUGGAAUUCCAGGUGUAGCGGUGAAAUGCGUAGAUAUCUGGGGGAACACCGGUGGCGAAGGCGGCAUCCUGGACCGAUACUGACGCUGAGGAGCGAAAGCCAGGGGAGCAAACGGG
rnacentral:rRNA from 1 species